CAUUAACCUAAAAUUCCCAAAAUCUGAACUUCAGUCCGGGGCUGCUCUGCUCGUCGUCGAACUAUCGAAGUCUCGUCUCUCCACCAGUCCGCCUCCUCAAGUCCACCGCCGAACGCUCCCCCCGCCAGUUCGCUCCACGCCUCCACCUCCGCUGGGGUUAGAAAUUUUAUUAGAUUGAGAAUUUUAUGGCAAAGUGGACCGCUCUCCCCGUCCGUCCGCUCCACGCCUCCACCUCCGCUGGGGUUAGAAAUUUUAUUAGAAUGAGAAUUUUAGGGCAAAGUAAAUUAUUUGUAAUCCCAUUGAAAUUGAAACUUAAUGGCUUAAAUUUACACCAUAAGCUCUCCCAUGUUCUUUGUCAUCUGGCCAACCUCAUUAUUUGUCCCGUUGAUGACUUAAACCAAUGAUACUCCCUGAACAAGUUUAAUUUUAGUAAUAGCAACUUUGUGUGUUCUUUGGGAUAUGAUUCACCCCCAUAUUGAUAUGAUAUUUGAAGGAGAUUUAUGGAUGUUUACUUUAAAUAAUAUGAAUAAGUCAAAAUGAAAUCCUGCAUGUAGGUUCUGCUUGAAGGCUAUAGCUGAUAUCACACGAGAGCUUUCUAGUUAACCGUGAAAGUAGCUUUCUACAUUUUUCCUUUUGUUUGCAAAAAUGGGAAAGUGUCCAUUGCUUAGUUUUGGAGGAGUUCUAUAAUCACGGUAGUAAUGGUUUUUUGUUCCUUUUAUAUAUCUGAAUACUGAAAAGAUUUUUGGUGCACUGUACUGGUCUUUAAUCUACACUUAGAAAGUCGUUAAAAUGUGCAUAAUUGGUUUUGUUGGAGCUUGGAAUGCACUGUACUCAUUAGUGUUGAACUGUACUGACAGUUUAUAUUUUUGCUUGUUGAAUUGCUUAGUUUCCUUAGGAGAAAGGGUUAUUCUUGAUAUGCUCAGAUGUUUCUCUAUGGACUAUAUUUGAAACACAUUAUCCAAUUGUUGCUAUCAUUUUUGUUCUUACUUGUUCUUUCUAGUUGUUUUAUUCCCCUGUAUUUAUGUUAAAGGCUUGAACUAAAAUUCAUUUUUCUCUUUUGUAGUGAGGACUUCAAAAGUUUCAGGAACACAGCUAUCUUAUUCAAGUAGAUCGAGAUGUCAUAGUCAUGGUGGGGGUCGUGCUCGGAUAAACCUUUUUGAUUGAUUUGCAAGAGUUGUCAAGGUUGUUUGGGACUGUUGGCUUCAGUCAGAAAUCAUUGAAAUGUUAUUGACUCUAUAUCAUCUGUUUUAAGUGUUGUCAUAUGAAAUCCAGAAUGAUCAAUACGCUAAUGUCAUAUGCAUAUGCAAAUCCUUUUUUUCAGAAUUUAUUUGGUUGUGUUUAAAGAAUUACAGUUUACUCACAAUCAAUGGCAGACCCUAUCCAACUAAUCCAAGUUAACAUUUUCACUUUUUCAGGCCCUUGAAGUAUAGCAGAAGCUAGAAUGGAAUAUGAGAUUCAGAUUGGAUCCCGUAUUUCAAGAAUUAGUCAAGUCAAUAGUGUAAGUUGUCGCUUUUAGACUUGUUCUACUCCCAAGUGGGCCUCUUCACAGUAAUCAAAAUUCUUUUGUUUAGACUUAAUAGAGGUUCCAAGCCAUCGUUUUCUCUGGACAAGGGAACUGCUUGGCGAAGGAACUCCACAAGGAAGAAGAUAUCUUCUUCUUGAAGUACGACUGAAGUUCUGUUGUCCCACUUGAAAAAUAAAAUGUAAAUCGAUUUAGGGACAUGAACUUUAAAAAUUGAUUGAGUGAACAAGUUGUCAUUAUGACUUAUGACUUAUGUGUUAAUGCCUAAAUAUGAUUUAAGAUGCAGUAAAAUUUCUUUAUCAACUUCUUACUCCAUUUCAGUAAAUAUACAACUUUCUUGCCUUCUCAUUCUUCUUUCUAUUAUUGUAAACUGGAUCUAUGUAUUUUCACCUCGAUUAGUUUCUUUAUCAAUUUCUGUUAUUGUAAAAUGCAAUCUCUUUACUGACCCCCAAAUCAGUCCAUCUUAUUUCAAAUGCAUAAUGGUGUUAGUUUAUGAGCCCCAAAUUUGAGAUUUUUCCUUUCUGAGAAGCUUCAUUUGGGUACUUAUUAAAUGUGCAAGAAUCUUCUAAGGAAGCUUCUUGUACUGCAUGUUGUUCUUAACUAAACCCUGGUCCUAGGAGUUAAAUCCUGCUAUGUUUCUGGCGUAAUUUUGUGCUAAUGUCCUCAUUGCUUGGAAUCAACUAUGAGCUUUUAUACCACUGUUGAUUGCUUCCCCAUUUGGUCUUGCCUUAACAAAUGUAAGCAUCCUUGUAAUUUGUCUUGUAACAGCUGAAGAAAUUGUCAUGGUAGUAUCUUGUAGCUGAUCUUGACGUUGACAUGAUCAAAAGAGACAUCGAUCUUAGUCUUCAGAGUUUUAAGAAACAAAGAAUCUUUGUUGUCGACUCCAAACCUUUUAUCUCAAUACUCUGAUUUCUUUAGUUUUGAACGUUCACCAAUUCUGAUUAAGACCUUGAGCAAGUACUAUUAAAUGGAUCAUGAUUAUCUUUUUCAAUCCAGUCAAUAUACUUCAUUAUAUGUUUCUUUAAUGUAUUGCUUAUGAUAUUGGUAGGAAAUGACAACAGAUCCCUUAAAUCAAGUGAAGCUGGGAUUUGUUAGUGGACUUGUUGGUAGAGAAAAAUUUAUGGCUUUUGAAAGAAUUCUGUUUAGAGCAACCAGGGGAAAUGUGUUUCUUAAACUAGUGGGAAUGGAAGAUCCAGUGAUUGAUCCGGUGUCAGGAGAUAAUGUAAUAAUAGAUGUUCUUUCACUAAUUCUGAAUUCUGGAUUUACGCAAUGAUGGAACUUUUGUAUAUCCCAUCAUGCAUGCUUCUUUUGAAAAUAGAAUUAUCGAAGUUCAGAAUCAAUUAUCUUCUUUUUGGUUUGUGUUGGCUUGUUGCUGAUGCAUAAUAAGAUGUAUUGUGUGAUAAACUCUAAUAUACAUGGGCAUCUAAACCAAUCUUCAACCCCUGCCUUAAAAAAAAAAAAAAAAAUUAGGAAAAAGGAGGAAAAAAAUGCUUAGUAAAAAUUAGUUUGUGUAUAUUGGAGUUUUUUGAUAUAGUUAUUUUCUUUGCUUUUCUUUUCGAUUAUAAUUGGUACAAAUGUCUAAAAUGUGGCUUAUCUUUAUCUCCAUUUUUUUAUAGGCUGGGACCGAUAUUUAAGGCAUAGGUCAUGUCGAAGAUUGUUGAGAAGAAAAUUAAGGAGGUCGAUAGGGUUGUUUCACUCACUACUUAGUGGUUUUUUUUUUUUUUUUUUUUUUGGGGAAAAUGUAUUGGAUUUUUAGGUGUUUUAGAAUUUUGGAUUUUGUACAAAUAUUGUUACAUUUUAGAGUUCAAUUAAUAAUUAUUAUUGGAG
rnacentral:lncRNA from 1 species